GCUGGAGAUGUCCAGUAUUCUGCCCAGCGCACAUUGCAGGGGAUGCUGUUGGUGCUGACUGAGGGCAGGGCCUGGGUUUAGCAGGGCCCACAGGUGUCCCACAGCUUCCUGCUGUAGCGGGGCAAGGGGCAGGGGCUGCAGGCAGGAGACACGUAGGGUCUGCCAAAGGUGCAGAGGCCCCCCGAGCCCUGAGUGGCCCCGGCGCCGUAGAGGCCCCCCAGC